AGAGCGUAGGGAGAAUGCCUAGGUACCAAGAGCCGAAGAAGGACGUGAUAAGCUGCGAAAAGCCACGGGGAGGAGCAAAUAUCCAUCGAGCCGUGGGUGUCCGAAUGAGGGAACUCAUACAGUAAAAAAAGACUGUAUAUCCAUACAUGAGUAAAGUAGUGUAUAGGAAGGGAACGUGGGGAACUGAAACAUCUUAGUACCCAUAGGAAAAGAAAGUAAUAACGAUUCCUGAAGUAGUGGCGAGCGAAACAGGAAGAGCCCAAACCAUAGAUAGUAAUAUUUGUGGGGUUCGGAUUAUCAAUAAAGCCAAGAAUGAUGUUAGUAGAAUUACCAGGGAAGGUAAACCAAAGAAGGUGAAAGUCCUGUAUAUGAAAACAGAGUGAAGGCGAGAUAAAUCCAGAGUAGUGCGAGACACGAGAAAUCUCGUAUGAAAGAGCGGAGACCAUUCCGUAAGGCUAAAUACUACUUGGUAACCGAUAGAGAACAAGUACCGUGAGGGAAAGGUGAAAAGGACCCCGGGAGGGGAGUGAAAGAGAACCUGAAACCCUAUGUUUACAAGCAGAUAGAGCGAUUUAAGGCGCGAUAUCGUACUUUUUGUAGAACGGUCCAGCGAGUUAUUGUAUAUGGCGAGGUUAAGUUCUGAAUAAGGAAUGGAGCCGAAGAGAAAUCGAGUCUGAAUAGGGCGAUAUAAGUCAUAUAUAAUAGACCCGAAACCGGGUGACCUAUCCAUGGUCAGGAUGAAGCUGAAGUAAAAUUCAGUGGAGGUCCGAACUGAUUGUCGUUAAAAAGGCACCGGAUGAACUGUGGAUAGCGGAGAAAUUCCAAUCGAACUCGGAGAUAGCUGGUUCUCCUCGAAAUAGCUUUAGGGCUAGCCUUGAGGUAAAGACGUAUGGGGGUAGAGCACUGAAUGAGCUAGGGGCCUAACCAGGUUACUGAACUCUAUCAAACUACGAAUACCAUAUUGUUAUACUCAGGAGUCAGACUGCGGGAGCUAAGUUCCGUGGUCAAAAGGGAAAGAGCCCAGAUCGUCAAUUAAGGUCCCAAAGAUAUAGCUAAGUGGAAAACGAUGUGAUUUUGCGUAAACAACCAGGAUGUUGGCUCAGAAGCAGCCACUCAUUCAAAGAGUGCGUAACAGCUCACUGGUCGAGUGAAUUUGCGCGGAAAAUUACCGGGGCUAAACUAUACACCGAAAUUUCGGAUUUACGUAUGAAAAUAUGUAAGUGGUAGAGGAGCAUUCUGUAGUAGGACGAAGUCAAAGCGAAAGCAUUGGUGGACGAGGCAGAAGAGAGAAUGCUGGAAUAAGUAGCGAGAGCAAGGUGAGAAUCCUUGCCGUCGAAAGUCUAAGGUUUCCUGGGGAAGGUUCGUCCGCCCAGGGUAAGUCGGGGCCUAAGGAGAGGCCGAAAGGCGUAUCUGAUGGAUAGCAGGUAGAGAUUCCUGCACUAUAGCUAGUUUUAAAAGAUGCAAGGGACGCAGUAGAGGAAGAUAACCAAGGAAGAGGAAAGACUUGGUCCGCAAGGGAUAGUGAAAAUUAAUAGUAACGAAAUAUCAAGAAUCACACUGACGAGAAAAGCUUGUAGAUAUUAACUAGAAAUACCCGUACCGCAAACCGACACAGGUAGAUGAGGAGAGGAUCCUAAGACGAGCGGGAGAAGCAUUGUUAAGGAACUCGGCAAAAUAACCCCGUAACUUCGGGAGAAGGGGAACCUAAGUAAAAUUAGGUCGCAGAGAAAAGGCCCAAGCAACUGUUUAACAAAAACACAGGUUUCUGCAAAAUCGAAAGAUGAAGUAUAGGAGCUGACGCCUGCCCAGUGCUGGAAGGUUAAGGGAAAGAGUUAGAUGUAAGUCGAAGCUUAGAACUAAAGCCCCAGUGAACGGCGGCCGUAACUAUAACGGUCCUAAGGUAGCGAAAUUCCUUGUCAGGUAAGUUCUGACCCGCACGAAAGGCGUAAUGAUUUGGGCACUGUCUCGACAAUGUACCCGGCGAAAUUGUAGUACUAGUGAAGAUGCUAGUUACCUGCGACAAGACAGAAAGACCCCAUGGAGCUUUACUGCAGUUUGAUACUGGGUUUCGAUAAGUUAUGUACAGGAUAGGUGGGAGACAAAGAAAGAAAGGCGUCAGCUUUUCCGGAGUCACCGUUGGGAUACCACCCUUAAUUUGUUGGAAUUCUAACUAGUGGUCAUGAUCUGGCCAGAGGACAAUGUCAGACGGGCAGUUUGACUGGGGCGGUCGCCUCCAAAAGAGUAACGGAGGCGCCCAAAGGUUCCCUCAGUGCGGACAGAAAUCGCACGAAAGAGUGUAAAGGCAGAAGGGAGCUUAACUGGAAGAUAGACAUAUCGAGCAGAUACGAAAGUAGGGCUUAGUGAUCCGGUGGAUAUUGAAUGGAAAAGCCAUCGCUCAACGGACAAAAGUUACCCUGGGGAUAACAGGCUUAUCUCCCCCAAGAGUUCACAUCGACGGGGAGGUUUGGCACCUCGAUGUCGGCUCAUCGCAUCCUGGAGCGGAAGUACGUUCCAAGGGUUGGGCUGUUCGCCCAUUAAAGCGGUACGCGAGCUGGGUUCAGAACGUCGUGAGACAGUUCGGUCCUUAUCUGUCGCAGGCGGAAGAUAUUUGAGAGGAGCUGUCCUUAGUACGAGAGGACCAGGAUGGACAUACCGAUGGUGUAUCAGUUGUCACACCAGUGGCACGGCUGAGUAGCCAAGUAUGGACGGGAUAAACGCUGAAAGCAUCUAAGUGUGAAGCCCACCUCAAGAUAAGAUAUCUCAUAUCGU
rnacentral:rRNA from 1 species